UCAGGAUGAACGCUGGCGGCGUGCCUAACACAUGCAAGUCGAGCGAUUCUCUUCGGAGAAGAGCGGCGGACGGGUGAGUAACGCGUGGGUAACCUGCCCUGUACACACGGAUAACAUACCGAAAGGUAUGCUAAUACGAGAUAAUAUACUUUUAUCACAUGGUAGAAGUAUCAAAGCUUUUGCGGUACAGGAUGGACCCGCGUCUGAUUAGCUAGUUGGUAAGGUAACGGCUUACCAAGGCGACGAUCAGUAGCCGACCUGAGAGGGUGAUCGGCCACAUUGGAACUGAGACACGGUCCAAACUCCUACGGGAGGCAGCAGUGGGGAAUAUUGCACAAUGGGCGAAAGCCUGAUGCAGCAACGCCGCGUGAGUGAUGAAGGCCUUCGGGUCGUAAAGCUCUGUCCUCAAGGAAGAUAAUGACGGUACUUGAGGAGGAAGCCCCGGCUAACUACGUGCCAGCAGCCGCGGUAAUACGUAGGGGGCUAGCGUUAUCCGGAAUUACUGGGCGUAAAGGGUGCGUAGGUGGUUUCUUAAGUCAGAGGUGAAAGGCUACGGCUCAACCGUAGUAAGCCUUUGAAACUGGGAAACUUGAGUGCAGGAGAGGAGAGUGGAAUUCCUAGUGUAGCGGUGAAAUGCGUAGAUAUUAGGAGGAACACCAGUUGCGAAGGCGGCUCUCUGGACUGUAACUGACACUGAGGCACGAAAGCGUGGGGAGCAAACAGGAUUAGAUACCCUGGUAGUCCACGCCGUAAACGAUGAGUACUAGCUGUCGGAGGUUACCCCCUUCGGUGGCGCAGCUAACGCAUUAAGUACUCCGCCUGGGAAGUACGCUCGCAAGAGUGAAACUCAAAGGAAUUGACG
rnacentral:rRNA from 1 species